rnacentral:rRNA from 1 species
CACGUAGGCGGCCUGGUAAGUCAGAUGUGAAAGCCUCGGGCUUAACCUGGGAACUGCAUUUGAUACUGGUAGGCUAGAGUAUGAUAGAGGGGGGUAGAAUUCCUGGUGUAGCGGUGAAAUGCGUAGAUAUCAGGAGGAAUACCAGUGGCGAAGGCGGCCCCCUGGAUUAAUACUGACGCUGAGGUACGAAAGCGUGGGUAGCGAACA